rfam:Anoxybacillus flavithermus WK1, complete genome.
UAAUUUACAUAAGUAGCUGAAUCAUCAGAAGUCAGCAGAGGUCAUAGUACGAAUCGGUCUAGAACGAUUCGGAAGGAC